GACGAACGCUGGCGGCGUGCCUAAUACAUGCAAGUUGAGCGCUGAAGGUUGGUACUUGUCCCAACUGGAUGAGCAGCGAACGGGUGAGUAACGCGUGGGGAAUCUGCCUUUGAGCGGGGGACAACAUUUGGAAACGAAUGCUAAUACCGCAUAAAAACUUUAAACACAAGUUUUAAGUUUGAAAGAUGCAAUUGCAUCACUCAAAGAUGAUCCCGCGUUGUAUUAGCUAGUUGGUGAGGUAAAGGCUCACCAAGGCGAUGAUACAUAGCCGACCUGAGAGGGUGAUCGGCCACAUUGGGACUGAGACACGGCUCAAACUCCUACGGGAGGCAGCAGGAGGGAAUCUUCGGCAAUGGACGAAAGUCUGACCGAGCAACGCCGCGGGAGUGAAGAAGGGUUUCGGAUCGUAAAACUCUGUUGGUAGAGAAGAACGUUGGUGAGAGUGGAAAGCUCAUCAAGUGACGGUAACUACCCAGAAAGGGACGGCUAACUACGUG
rnacentral:rRNA from 1 species